rnacentral:rRNA from 1 species
CAAAUUGAAGAGUUUGAUCCUGGCUCAGAAUGAACGCUGGCGGCAUGGCUAAAACAUGCAAGUCGAACGAACUAUCUUGAAGAGUAAUCGGACAGAUAGUGAGUGGCGCAAGGGUGAGGAAUGGAUAGGUAACAUACCUCGGGCUCCGGAAUAGCUCAUCGAAAGGUGGGGUAAUGCCGGAUGAUGUCCUGUGUUUGAUGCACAGGACCAAAGAUUUAUCGGCCUGGGAGUGGCCUAUUCCCUAUCAGCUAGUUGGUGAGGUAACGGCUUACCAAGGCGACGACGGGUAGCGGGACUGAGAGGUUGACCCGCCACAUCGGGACUGAGACACUGCCCGGACCUCCACGGAGGGCUGCAGUAACGAAUAUUGGGCAAUGGGCGAAAGCCUGACCCAGCAAUGCCGCGUGUAGGAUGAAGCUUUUCGGAGUGUAAACUACUUUCAGGGAUUAGAAAGCUACGGUUGAUCAAUCCCAGAAGAAGUCACGGCUAACUUCGUGCCAGCAGCCGCGGUAAUACGAAGGUGGCAAGCGUUAUUCGAAAUCACUGGGCUUAAAGGGCGCGUAGGCGGAUAUGUAGGUGUCAGGUGAAAACCCCCGGCUUAACCGGGGAACGGCUUGGCAAACGGCAUAUCUUGAGUCAAGUAGGGGUGUGUGGAACUCUUGGUGGAGCGGUGGAAUGCGUAGAUAUCAAGAGGAACGCCGAAGGUGAAGACAGCACACUGGGCUUGUACUGACGCUGAGGCGCGAAAGCGUGGGGAGCAAACAGGAUUAGAUACCCUGGUAGUCCACGCCGUAAACGAUGUAUACUAGGUCGCGGAGGUUCUGACACCGUCGUGAUCGUAGCAAAAGUGUUAAGUAUACCGCCUGGGGAGUACGGUCGCAAGGCUAAAACUCAAAGGAAUUGACGGGGGCUCACACAAGCGGUGGAGCAUGUGGAUUAAUUCGAAGCAACGCGCAGAACCUUUGGCCUUUAUGCCCAGGGCUUCACACGUGCUACAAUGGCAGGUACAAAGCGACGCGAUACCGCGAGGUGGAGCAAAUCGCAAAAAACCUGCCCCAGUUCAGAUUGCAGGCUGUCAACUCGCCUGCAUGAAGUUGGAAUCGCUAGUAAUCGCGUAUCAGCGAUGACGCGGUGAAUGUGUUCCUGAGCCUUGUACACACCGCCCGUCAAAUCACGGGAGUUGGGAGUACCCGAAGUCGGAUUGCUAACCUUUUAGGAAGCGUCUGCCGACGGUAAGCCCGAUGACUGGGAUUAAGUCGUAACAAGGUAGCCGUAGGGGAACCUGCGGCUGGAUCACCUCCUUUCUAAGGGAUAAUUU